GACGAACGCUGGCGGCGUGCCUAACACAUGCAAGUCGAACGGAACUGUUUUGAAAGAUUUCUUCGGAAUGAAUUUGAUUUAGUUUAGUGGCGGACGGGUGAGUAACGCGUGAGUAACCUGCCUUCAAGAGGGGAAUAACAUUCUGAAAAGAAUGCUAAUACCGCAUGACAUAUCGGAACCACAUGGUUUUGAUAUCAAAGAUUUUAUCGCUUGAAGAUGGACUCGCGUCCGAUUAGUUAGUUGGUGAGGUAACGGCUCACCAAGACCGCGAUCGGUAGCCGGACUGAGAGGUUGAACGGCCACAUUGGGACUGAGACACGGCCCAGACUCCUACGGGAGGCAGCAGUGGGGGAUAUUGCGCAAUGGGGGCAACCCUGACGCAGCAACGCUGCGUGAAGGAUGAAGGUUUUCGGAUUGUAAACUUCUUUUAUUAAGGACGAAAAAUGACGGUACUUAAUGAAUAAGCUCCGGCUAACUACGUG
rnacentral:rRNA from 1 species